CCUCGGCAUCAGCGUGCUC
rnacentral:snRNA from 1 species